rnacentral:rRNA from 1 species
GACGAACGCUGGCGGCGUGCUUAACACAUGCAAGUCGAACGGAAGGGCCCUGCUUUUGUGGGGUGCUCGAGUGGCGAACGGGUGAGUAACACGUGAGUAACCUGCCCUUGACUUUGGGAUAACUUCAGGAAACUGGGGCUAAUACCGGAUAGGAGCUCCUGCUGCAUGGUGGGGGUUGGAAAGUUUCGGCGGUUGGGGAUGGACUCGCGGCUUAUCAGCUUGUUGGUGGGGUAGUGGCUUACCAAGGCUUUGACGGGUAGCCGGCCUGAGAGGGUGACCGGCCACAUUGGGACUGAGAUACGGCCCAGACUCCUACGGGAGGCAGCAGUGGGGAAUAUUGCACAAUGGGCGGAAGCGUGAUGCAGCAACGCCGCGUGCGGGAUGACGGCCUUCGGGUUGUAAACCGCUUUCGCCUGUGACGAAGCGUGAGUGACGGUAAUGGGUAAAGAAGCACCGGCUAACUACGUG